CGGGGUGCACCAGGCGCGAAAACUUUACGAUGCGGGAAACCGUGAUAAGGGGACACCGAGUGCCAGCAUCAUAUGCUGGCUGUCCAGGUGUGUAAAAUACACCUGUCAGCAAGGGCCGGGCAAGACCGGUGCCAGCCGCCGCGGUAACACCGGCGGCCCGAGUGGUGAUCGUGAUUAUUGGGUCUAAAGGGUCCGUAGCCGGUUUGGUCAGUCCUCCGGGAAAUCUGACGGCUCAACCGUUAGGCUUUCGGGGGAUACUGCCAGGCUUGGAACCGGGAGAGGUAAGAGGUACUACAGGGGUAGGAGUGAAAUCUUGUAAUCCCUGUGAGACCACCUGUGGCGAAGGCGUCUUACCAGAACGGGUUCGACGGUGAGGGACGAAAGCUGGGGGCACGAACCGGAUUAGAUACCCGGGUAGUCCCAGCCGUAAACGAUGCUCGCUAGGUGUCAGGCAUGGCGCGACCGUGUCUGGUGCCGCAGGGAAGCCGUGAAGCGAGCCACCUGGGAAGUACGGCCGCAAGGCUGAAACUUAAAGGAAUUGGCGGGGGAGCACAAGGGCGAAUCGCG
rnacentral:rRNA from 1 species